CCUACGGGAGGCUGCAGUGAGGAAUAUUGGUCAAUGGGCGUAAGCCUGAACCAGCCAAGUCGCGUGAGGGAUGAAGGUUCUAUGGAUCGUAAACCUCUUUUAUAAGGGAAUAAAGUGCGGGACGUGUCCCGUUUUGUAUGUACCUUAUGAAUAAGGAUCGGCUAACUCCGUGCCAGCAGCCGCGGUAAUACGGAGGAUCCGAGCGUUAUCCGGAUUUAUUGGGUUUAAAGGGUGCGUAGGCGGCCUUUUAAGUCAGCGGUGAAAGUUUGUGGCUCAACCAUAGAAUUGCCGUUGAAAUUGGGUGGCUUGAGGAUGUUUGAGGUAGGCGGAAUGCGUGGGGUAGCGGUGGAAUGCUUAGAUAUCACGCAGAACCCCGAUUGCGAAGGCAGCCUGCCAAGCCAUGACUGACGCUGAUGCACGAAAGCGUGGGGAUCAAACAGGAUUAGAUACCCUUGUAGUC
rnacentral:rRNA from 1 species